GAUGCAGGCUUGAUAAUCUCACUCCACAGGUGUGCAACCGUUUUUCGGGCAUGGAGGAAACAACGUCAUACAAAUGGACUGUGGUAAAAACCAAGGCACUUAUUGCUUUAAGAAUGGAAAAGGAUGACCUGUUCUGCAAAAAACGCAAUGCUGCCAAAGAAGCAUGGGAGUCAAUCAUUAAGGAAUUGGACCUUGGGCAACAUGUGUCUCACAAACAGGCCUCCAAGAAAUGGGAGAACCUAAAAAA